rnacentral:rRNA from 1 species
AUUGAAGGCUGAAAUUCGCCUUCAUGAAGCCGGAAUUGCUAGUAAUGGCAGGUCAGCAUACUGCCGUGAAUACGUUCCCGGGCCUUGUACACACCGCCCGUCACACCAUGAGAGUUGGGAAUACCCGAAGCCUGUGAGCUAACUUUUAGAGGCAGCAGUCGAAGGUAGAAUCAAUGAUUGGGGUGAAGUCGUAACAAGGUACC